UGUCCUACGGGGCGCAGCAGUAGGGAAUCUUCCACAAUGGACGAAAGUCUGAUGGAGCAACGCCGCGUGAGUGAAGAAGGGUUUCGGCUCGUAAAGCUCUGUUGGUAGUGAAGAAAGAUAGAGGGAGUAACUGGCCUUUAUUUGACGGUAAUUACUUAGAAAGUCACGGCUAACUACGUGCCAGCAGCCGCGGUAAUACGUAGGUGGCGAGCGUUAUCCGGAAUGAUUGGGCGUAAAGGGUGCGCAGGCGGUCCUGCAAGUCUGGAGUGAAACGC
rnacentral:rRNA from 1 species